UUGACCUCGAAUCAGGUAGGACUACCCGCUGAACUUAAGCAUAUCAAUAAGCGGAGGAAAAGAAACCAACAGGGAUUGCCCUAGUAACGGCGAGUGAAGCGGCAACAGCUCAAAUUUGAAAUCUGGCCCUCGGGUCCGAGUUGUAAUUUGUAGAGGAUGCUUUUGGUGCGGUGCCUUCCGAGUUCCCUGGAACGGGACGCCAUAGAGGGUGAGAGCCCCGUCUGGUUGGACACCAAUCCUCUGUAAAGCUCCUUCGACGAGUCGAGUAGUUUGGGAAUGCUGCUCUAAAUGGGAGGUAUAUGUCUUCUAAAGCUAAAU
rnacentral:rRNA from 1 species